rnacentral:rRNA from 1 species
UACGUAGGGUGCGAGCGUUAAUCGGAAUUACUGGGCGUAAAGCGUGCGCAGGCGGCUUACUAAGACAGGUGUGAAAGCCCCCGAGCUUAACUUGGGAAUGGCGCUUGUGACUGGUAGGCUGGAGUGUGGCAGAGGGAGGUGGGAAUUCCACGUGUAGCAGUGAAAUGCGUAGAGAUGUGGAGGAACACCAGUGGCGAAGGCGACUACCUGGCCUGUUCUUGACGCUGAGGCGCGAAAGCUAGGGGAGCAAACGGG